rnacentral:snRNA from 1 species
AUGUUCUUCUUGGUAGCAUAUAUAUUAAAAUUUGAAUGAUACAGAGAAGAUUAGUAUGACACCUGCACAAGCUGGUUUGGGGAUGGUGAGAAGGCUCCACAGUACAG